rnacentral:rRNA from 1 species
GACGAACGCUGGCGGCGUGCUUAACACAUGCAAGUCGAACGGAAAGGCCCUGCUUUUGUGGUGUGCUCGUGUGGCGAACGCGUGAGUAACACGUGAGUAACCUGCCCUUGACUUUGUGAUAUCUUCAGGUAACUGCGGCUAUUACCGGAUAUGAGCUCCUGCUGCAUGUUGUUGGUUGGAAAGUUUCGGCGGUUGGGGAUGGACUCGCUGCUUAUCAGCUUGUUUGUGGGGUAGUGGCUUACCAAGGCUUUGACGGGUAGCCGGCCUGAGAGGGUGACCGGCGACAAUGGGACUGAGAGACGGACCAGACGGGAACGGGAGGCAGCAGUGGGGAAGAUUGCAAAAUGGGCGGAAGCGUGAUGAAGCAACGCGGGGAGCGGGAAGACGGGGAACGGGUAGUAAACAGAUGUAGAAUGAGACGAAGCGAGAGUGACGGUAAUGGGUAAAGAAGCAACGGCUAACUACGUG